rnacentral:rRNA from 1 species
UCGGGAAUUUUGGGCAAUGGGCGAAAGCCUGACCCAGCAACGCCGCGUGAAGGAUGAAGUAUUUCGGUAUGUAAACUUCGUAAGAAUAGGAAGAAUAAAUGACGGUACUAUUUGUAAGGUCCGGCUAACUACGUGCCAGCAGCCGCGGUAAUACGUAGGGACCAAGCGUUGUUCGGAUUUACUGGGCGUAAAGGGCGCGUAGGCGGCGUGGUAAGUCAUCUGUGAAAUCUCCGAGCUUAACUCGGAACGGUCAGAUGAUACUGCUGUGCUAGAGUACAGAAAGGGCAAUCGGAAUUCUUGGUGUAGCGGUGAAAUGCGUAGAUAUCAAGAGGAACACCUGAGGCGAAGGCGGGUUGCUAGGCUGAUACUGACGCUGAGGCGCGAAAGCUAGGGUAGCAAACGGGAUUAGAUACCCCAGUAGUCCCUGAGCGGGCUGGCAAGGCGCAU